rnacentral:rRNA from 1 species
CCUACGGGAGGCAGCAGUAGGGAAUUUUCGUCAAUGGGCGCAAGCCUGAACGAGCAAUGCCGCGUGAACGAGGAAGUUCUUCGGAUCGUAAAGUUCUGUUGAAGGGGACAAAGAGCGGAGAGAGGAAAUGGUCUCCGAUUGAUAUUACCCUUCGAGGAAGUCACGGCUAACUACGUGCCAGCAGCCGCGGUAAUACGUAGGUGGCGAGCGUUAUCCGGAAUGAUUGGGCGUAAAGGGUGCGUAGGCGGCCUGCUAAGUCUGGAGUGAAAGGUACCGGCUCAACCGGUAUAGGCUCUGGAAACUGGCGGGCUAGAGAGCAGGAGAGUGCGGUGGAACUCCAUGUGUAGCGGUAAAAUGCGUAGAUAUAUGGAAGAACACCAGUGGCGAAGGCGGCCGCCUGGCCUGUUACUGACGCUGAGGCACGAAAGCGUGGGGAGCAAAUAGGAUUAGAUACCCCGGUAGUC